UCUCCGGUGGCCUAGUGGUUAGAUCGUCCGCCUCGGAUGCAGGAGGUCGUUGGUUCGAUCCCGGUCAAGUCAUACCAAAGAU